CUCUGAACUGGAAAGAGGAAGAGAAAGAAAAAAGAGAGCGCUUUAGUUGGAGGGCUUGGACAGCUCCUCCUGGAGUCCCAGGACCUGCCUCUGCAGAGCUUCCCUCCGCUCUGGCCUUCCCGUCUAUAAACCAAGAAGAAUCGGGGCUCCAGCUUGCCAGGGCCAGCUCACUUCCGGGGAGAAUCCUGGGAGCAGGAAACCAAGAACAAAAAUCUCUGAAUGCAGAUUUAUGCUUUUAAGAAGCCGGAGUCAUCCCCAGCCUUUCAGAGUCUGAUGUUCCUUUCCCAUUCUCGGGGCUGGGUGCAUGGAGA
rnacentral:lncRNA from 1 species